AGUGAACGCUGGCGGUAGGCCUAGCACAUGCAAGUCGAACGGCAGCACAGUAAGAGCUUGCUCUUACGGGUGGCGAGUGGCGGACGGGUGAGGAAUACAUCGGAAUCUACUUUUUCGUGGGGGAUAACGUAGGGAAACUUACGCUAAUACCGCAUACGACCUACGGGUGAAAGCAGGGGAUCUUCGGACCUUGCGCGAUUGAAUGAGCCGAUGUCGGAUUAGCUAGUUGGCGGGGUAAAGGCCCACCAAGGCGACGAUCCGUAGCUGGUCUGAGAGGAUGAUCAGCCACACUGGAACUGAGACACGGUCCAGACUCCUACGGGAGGCAGCAGUGGGGAAUAUUGGACAAUGGGCGCAAGCCUGAUCCAGCCAUACCGCGUGGGUGAAGAAGGCCUUCGGGUUGUAAAGCCCUUUUGUUGGGAGAGAAAAGCAGCAGGUUAAUACCCCGCUGUUCUGACGGUACCCAAAGAAUAAGCACCGGCUAACUUCGUG
rnacentral:rRNA from 1 species